rnacentral:rRNA from 1 species
GGUGACGAGCGGCGGACGGGUGAGUAAUGUCUGGGAAACUGCCUGAUGGAGGGGGAUAACUACUGGAAACGGUAGCUAAUACCGCAUAACGUCGCAAGACCAAAGAGGGGGACCUUCGGGCCUCUUGCCAUCAGAUGUGCCCAGAUGGGAUUAGCUAGUAGGUGGGGUAACGGCUCACCUAGGCGACGAUCCCUAGCUGGUCUGAGAGGAUGACCAGCCACACUGGAACUGAGACACGGUCCAGACUCCUACGGGAGGCAGCAGUGGGGAAUAUUGCACAAUGGGCGCAAGCCUGAUGCAGCCAUGCCGCGUGUAUGAAGAAGGCCUUCGGGUUGUAAAGUACUUUCAGCGGGGAGGAAGGCGAUGAGGUUAAUAACCUUGUCGAUUGACGUUACCCGCAGAAGAAGCACCGGCUAACUCCGUGCCAGCAGCCGCGGUAAUACGGAGGGUGCAAGCGUUAAUCGGAAUUACUGGGCGUAAAGCGCACGCAGGCGGUCUGUCAAGUCGGAUGUGAAAUCCCCGGGCUCAACCUGGGAACUGCAUUCGAAACUGGCAGGCUAGAGUCUUGUAGAGGGGGGUAGAAUUCCAGGUGUAGCGGUGAAAUGCGUAGAGAUCUGGAGGAAUACCGGUGGCGAA